AGUGAACGCUGGCGGCAGGCCUAACACAUGCAAGUCGAACGGAUCCUUCGGGAUUAGUGGCGGACGGGUGAGUAACACGUGGGAACGUGCCUUUAGGUUCGGAAUAACUCAGGGAAACUUGUGCUAAUACCGAAUGUGCCCUUCGGGGGAAAGAUUUAUCGCCUUUAGAGCGGCCCGCGUCUGAUUAGCUAGUUGGUGAGGUAAAGGCUCACCAAGGCGACGAUCAGUAGCUGGUCUGAGAGGAUGAUCAGCCACAUUGGGACUGAGACACGGCCCAAACUCCUACGGGAGGCAGCAGUGGGGAAUCUUGCGCAAUGGGCGAAAGCCUGACGCAGCCAUGCCGCGUGAAUGAUGAAGGUCUUAGGAUUGUAAAAUUCUUUCACCGGGGACGAUAAUGACGGUACCCGGAGAAGAAGCCCCGGCUAACUUCGUGCCAGCAGCCGCCGUAAGAC
rnacentral:rRNA from 1 species